rnacentral:ncRNA from 12 species
UAAUAUUACCGGAGGUACUUACUCCUCGACAGGUCAAUAGCUGGCGAAUGGUUAAUAAUACUAAGCGUAUGAUAAGUACGUCUUCCCAGUUAGGAAAGUCUGAUAGAAAUAUCAGACUUUUUUAUUUAGGU